rnacentral:rRNA from 1 species
GUCCAUGCCGUAAACGUUGGGCACUAGGUGUGGGGGACAUUCCACGUUUUCCGCGCCGUAGCUAACGCAUUAAGUGCCCCGCCUGGGGAGUACGGCCGCAAGGCUAAAACUCAAAGGAAUUGACGGGGGCCCGCACAAGCGGCGGAGCAUGCGGAUUAAUUCGAUGCAACGCGAAGAACCUUACCAAGGCUUGACAUGAACCGGAAAUACCUGGAAACAGGUGCCCCGCUUGCGGUCGGUUUACAGGUGGUGCAUGGUUGUCGUCAGCUCGUGUCGUGAGAUGUUGGGUUAAGUCCCGCAACGAGCGCAACCCUCGUUCUAUGUUGCCAGCGCGUUAUGGCGGGGACUCAUAGGAGACUGCCGGGGUCAACUCGGAGGAAGGUGGGGACGACGUCAAAUCAUCAUGCCCCUUAUGUCUUGGGCUUCACGCAUGCUACAAUGGCCGGUACAAAGGGUUGCGAUACUGUGAGGUGGAGCUAAUCCCUAAACCCGGUCUAGUUCGGAUUGGGGUCUGCAACUCGACCCCAUGAAGUCGGAGCGAUAGUAUCGCAGAUCGCCACGAUGCGGUGAAUACGUUCCCGGGGUUGUACAACCGCCCGUCAAGUCACAAGUUGGGACACCCCAGCCGGUGGCCUAUCCCCUUGUGGGAGGGAGCUGUCGAACGGUGGACUGACGAUUGG